rnacentral:lncRNA from 1 species
AUAAACUUAACAUCAAUAAAACCAAAGUCGCCACCGCACUUUUAUUGUUUCCAAAGGAAAAUGGAAAAGUACGAACAAAACCCAAAGAUAAGAAGUUUUCAAAUCAAAACUAAUAAAAUGCCAGAGAUUACAGGUAAGGGGGUUGGUUACACAAAUGGAAUGUGUUAGCACUCAAAGUGUCCUAAGUACUCCUAGGGAGCACUUUUUAUGUGUGCAUGUGUUUUUGGUAUAAAAGAUGUUUGAUGAAAAUAGAGUGUGGGGAUGAUAAGAGAAUUCAUUGAUUAUAUUUUUGUGUUUGACAAGACCUUCGGCCUUGUGCCUACGUACCAAUAUAAAACUGAGGGAUCAAAACCUCGUAGUUCGUGGUAAAAAUUUCAAAGUUGGUGAAUUGCUUUUAACAAAA